rnacentral:rRNA from 1 species
CCUACGGGAGGCAGCAGUAGGGAAUAUUGCUCAAUGGGGGAAACCCUGAAGCAGCAACGCCGCGUGGAGGAUGAAGGUUUUCGGAUUGUAAACUCCUGUUGUGAGAGAAGAUAAUGACGGUAUCUAAAGAAUAAGCACCGGCUAACUCCGUGCCAGCAGCCGCGGUAAUACGGAGGGUGCAAGCGUUACUCGGAUUCACUGGGCGUAAAGGGGGCGGAGGCGGGAUAGCAAGUCAGAUGUGAAAUCCUAUGGCUUAACCAUAGAACUGCAUUUGAAACUGUGAUUCUAGAGUAUGGGAGAGGUAGGUGGAAUUCUUGGUGUAGGGGUAAAAUCCGUAGAGAUCAAGAGGAAUACUCAUUGCGAAGGCGACCUGCUAGAACAUAACUGACGCUGAUGCGCGAAAGCGUGGGGAGCAAACAGGAUUAGAUACCCCUGUAGUC